GGGAAAGCAGUAAGGAUGGCAUUACUCCCAAAUUACUCUCUCCCCAAAAGAAAAAAAAGAUAAAUUUGCGACUCACUCUGAGGGAAAAAAAGCUAGUUCCUGCUUCUAUGACAGAUCUUUUCCUUAAUUUGGAUCAGCUUAUGAAUUCUUAUUUUAAUAAAGCUAUGGGAUGGCUGCUGCAAGCUUCUGAGCUCAUUUUGCCAUUUUGCUUUUAGUGAAACCUGACCAUGCAUAAAAUUUAGGAGUAGGUCAUGGCACCCCAGAAGCAUUGAAGAGAAAGAAAAAUGUUUUCUUCCUGUGAAUGGCUACAAUCACAUAAGGAAGGAGCGAAAAUUCAGGAAGAGAAACACAUCAUCCAUGAGACCCUCUUGCUUCUGGAAAUGUUUACCCGUUCAACACAGAUGCAAUACACUUUGGGAACCAACCUAUCCACAAGC